UACGUAGGGGGCGAGCGUUGUCCGGAUUUAUUGGGCGUAAAGAGCUCGUAGGCGGUUCGGUAAGUCGGACGUGAAAUCUCCACGCUCAACGUGGAGGGGCCGUUCGAUACUGUCGUGACUCGAGUCCGGUAGGGGAGUGUGGAAUUCCCGGUGUAGCGGUGAAAUGCGCAGAUAUCGGGAAGAACACCCGUGGCGAAGGCGGUUCUCUGGGACGGUACUGACGCUGAGACGCGAAAGCGUGGGGAGCGAACAGG
rnacentral:rRNA from 1 species